rnacentral:rRNA from 1 species
UACGAAGGGGGCUAGCGUUGUUCGGAAUUACUGGGCGUAAAGCGCACGUAGGCUGAUUGUUAAGUCAGGGGUGAAAUCCCAGAGCUCAACUCUGGAACUGCCCUUGAUACUGGUGAUCUAGAGUCCGGAAGAGGUUAGUGGAAUUCCCAGUGUAGAGGUGAAAUUCGUAGAUAUUGGGAAGAACACCAGUGGCGAAGGCGGCUAACUGGUCCGGUACUGACGCUGAGGUGCGAAAGCGUGGGGAGCAAACAGG